AAAAUUAUUCUCUCGCACUCACACCUCCAUACACUCACACGCGGCUCUUGCCUGAUCUCCUUUUCAUUUUGUUCUAUCUGCUUGCUCCAAAUCUACUUUUGCCCGAUGAGUUGUGGCUGGUGACGCUGUUCGGCUCACUGGUGCGGCCACGGGUGGCGCCUGAUUUGGCUCCCUGUACGCCUCCUCAAUAUCUGAGGCCGGUCAACGGCGAUGGAGGGGUAACAGGAGCCUGACUUCGGCGUCUCAUUCUUCCACCAAUGGUUCCCGCUUCGCCCCUUUCCGGUCUCUCUUAUCUCCCCCUGUUUCUUAUACUUGCUCUGCAUGUGUAUGGUUGAACCAAUAUAAUGAAAUUAAGGCACAGCUUGUUAGUUAAAGAUGUAAAUCUAUUUAUGCCCGUCCAAUUUUUUCCAUGCUUCGGACCGUCAUCGGCAGUGUAGGCCCCCUGCUCCCAUUCAUAUUCUUAUUUGAGAUUAUCUAUAGUUGUUCUAUUUCCCAAAGAUAGAGUUAAGUUUAAUAAGUGAAUAUGAAAUUUGUGCUAUUGCAUGCUACAUGUGAACUAUAACAAUUCGUGGAUGUUUUCACUAUUGGCUUGUUCAAUAUAAUAAGCUUCAAAUAUCAGAUAAUAUAGUGUCCACAAUUUGUAUUAUUGAGCUAUUUCCAUCAAAUGUUGAUGCAUGUUUUCAGAACUUCUGGCAGUAGUAGUUCAUAUUCGUUCUGCGGCUUCUGCCAUAUUAGCAUAAAGUCAUUUUUAAAUUAAAUAUAAUUUCUAGUGUACUAAUUUUCCAACCACUUAUGGUUAGCUAAAAGGCUAGUAGCAACUGUAUAUGUGUUUUUAGUUCCAACCUUUAGAAUAUUUCCGUGCAGCUUAUGUUCUUGACCACAUCAUCCUUGUUAGUUCAUUUGCCAUAGAAAAGAAAAUAAUAGAUGUGAUCAAGUCAGUAGGUUAUCACUUUGUGAGUGUUUUUGCAAAGUAUUCCCUUUCUCGUAUGUUUCCCAUGAAGUCCUUGAGCUUUAUGUACAAAUUCUGUCAACAAUAUCAGGUCUUUGUGAUGUUGCUUGGCCUACUUCCUGUAACAAUAUCAUGUGCCUUACAGCCGUGCUGUGUGAGCCACCUCGGAGGGGAGGGGACGACAUGUGCCUCCCAGUCCUCCCGCGUGAUUUUACACCCGAGAGGAAGAAGGAUGAGGGGCUUUCGGCCAUGGUGUAGCCACACUAGGGUUUCUCAUAGUAGGGUUUCCUUGUUUUUCUUUUAUCCUGUUUCUUCUAGUUUGGUCGUUCGCUGUGAUAAGGUAGAUUAUUUUUAGAGGAAACAAAAGCUGGAGGCAAUGGAAGUACGCAUUGUUCUAUUAGAAUGGCAAUGGUACACACAAAGAGGGAGAAUUCCGGCAGCUGGAAAUCUAGACCUGGAAAAGCUACGUCAGGCUACCUAUUCUGCACAACUCCAAACAAGCUGAAACUUUACGGAGAAUUUUUAUGGAAUAUAUGAAUAAUAUUGGAGCAAAAGUCCCUCUCGCAAGUAAGCAUGAUUAUCAUUUGUGAGUAGUUACUUACAAGGAGCUACAAUUGAUCCCUAUACUUGUGGGUCAUCAGUCCCUCUCGACCUCUAUCCAUUGUUGGCCAGACCUCUAUUGGACAGGUACUAUAGGGGGGUUUUGCUCCGUUGCAAACAACCACACAUUAGCUAUCUACGUGUAUCUCCUCGCCUCGCUUUUCUAUCUUGGGAAUGCAUGCGUGAUAUGUUUGCAUAUGACAUGCACACACUCUCUUUCUAUUUUAUUGUUUGUUGUCCCUUUCUCUUUCACACACUCUUUUUGCACACUCACUCUUUCUCCUUCACACGCGCUUGAUAUAUUUCAACUUAGGUACUCUCUUCGCUCUAUAGCAUAUAGAUUUAUUGAAAAGUCAAACUUCACAAAGUUUGACCAGGUACGUGGAGAAAAAUAUUUACAUCUAGAACGGCAAACAUACAUCACUAGAUAAUACCCCGCGCGUUGCUGCAGAAUUAUUGGCAAUCAAUUCGGGGUGGAGAUGGGAAAAAUUAGCAAACGGAAGAGAUGAACCUGACCAAAUAAAAAUACAUGUUUCAAUCAAGAUAAUCAUGUGUGCUAUAGAACCAAACUCAAUGAAUACUGAAUAGUUUCUUGGGGAAAAACAACAAUCCUUAAUGUCUCAAGAAAGAAUAUAAUGAUUUAAAUUGCAAGAAAAGAAUUACUAUAUGUAAGGCUGGUUGAUUGGUAAAAAUAGCUAAGCAGACUUGUAAUUUGAGGUCACUUGAACCUCACUUAGAAAAGGUAGGUAGACAAAAUAAAAGUUGAGUAUUGCUCUUGUGCCACUGAAACCAGUCAUAAAACCAAAAAAAAAGUGCACAUACGAAGAAUAGCUCCAUUGAGGGGUUCUUUCCUUGAAAAAGGAGAAUAUAAAACAUUAUAGAAAUGUAAUAACAUGGUUCUGUAUAUAAAUCAUUUUGAAGCACAAUUAUAGUUUAUAGCAUAAUAACAUCAAAUCCAAAUGUACAUCCUUGCUGCAGACCUAGCUUACCAAAAGUCAAUGUAGUAGCGAGUAAAUAUUAGGAAGAGAGGUGAAAAACAAAGGCCUAAGAAGUAAGAACUGGCAUACCAGAAUGUUGAAGUGGAGUGCACCGGAUAUAGAACAAAAAAUUAUACAAAUGACAAUUCGAAAGAAUGAAAAUCAAAGCUUAUAAAAUGCUUCAAUUCCUAUCAUAGUAAUCUGAUGGGAAUGUCAAAAUGAUUAAUAAGCCACAUGCAUGAAAGAUCUAUGGAAUCUGAAGAACAGAAUAAUUUAAAGGUUAGAACAACAUAUAUCACUUUGCACCAUAACUUAUACUACAGAAUAAUUUAAAUUACUUUUACAAUGAUGAAAAUAAUACGGUUGCAGAAAGUCAGUCUUAUUUGUGAGAACAUAGUUUCUGGAAAAAGCUGAUGUGCAACCUCAACAUGGAACCAGGUCAGAGUUACUUCGGCACACCAUCUAUCUUCUUUGCAUCCCUUUCAAUGCUUAUGGUAAAUAAGUGAGAUAAAACAGAAAACUGUAUAACCUAUGACUGUGUACUCCUUUUGGGGAUCAAAACACGACGUCCAAGAAGAAUUAGUUAUUAUGUUGGGGUUGAAUACCAAAAAUAAUUAUGAGGAAAUGAACGAUAGAAGUUCUGAUAAUCUGAACUUCUUACCACCAAUGUUUGUUUAGCAAAGCCCACAUUCUGUGUAUACAUUGCGGAUGAUGUCUUUUCUAAUAUUUAAGCGUCAAUGAAAGUAUUUGCUAAAAGAACAUGGUGUGGAAAUUUGCAUAACAGAACUUAGCUACAGUAUCUAAUAUUUACCUCACUGAAGAUAAUAUCAUAUAUAUUUGACUGCUAGCUGCAGCAACCUCAUUGAUCUGCAGUUCUGCACACGAAGUAAAUUUUGUUGAGGGAAAAGAAAACAGAAGGGUAUCUAUCAUUAGUCACAUGGAGAAAGAAGAUAAAAGAUAUAGAAAGGUUAUGAUUAGUAACAGAUCUAAGACAAUGCAGAAAACCAGAAAAAACAACUCACUGUAUGUUUGAGGCCAAUCAGUGUUUGUGGAUAGGUCACCUGAUGAUGAUAUAACAAAGAAACUACCAAACUUAAAUUGAUUCUUGUCAUUUAGCUGCUUGUUGAUCUCAGAAGUGUUUUCUUUUUCUUCUUAUCUUUGAGUACACGAUCAAAUUCUUUCAUUAAGCUGCAGGAACUCUCUUUAAAAUAUAGACAAAUUUAAGACACUACAUAACAGUUCAAUGUUACUACCCAGACAGACAGGUUGCAAUAGUUCAUCACACCACCUAAGAUGUGAAACUGCGUGUUCACUUAGAAGCAAAGAAUGGUGCUUUAUGAGAGCACAUGACAAUGUUCAGUCAGACUUACCGCUUGCACUCCCUCAUUGCCAGUGAGUCCAUCUAGCUGCUUGGAUGCCUGUGAUAGUCCUUGAUCUUGUCUAUCUUCUGGAACCCAUUCCUAAAACAAAACCUUCCAUCAGAAUCAAUCGACCAAGAGACAACAACCAGUCAUAGUUUAGGCACAGGUAGCUGAAAUCUGAUCCCAGCACGCAGGUGACAAUGCAAGAAUUAAUGUUUUGUAGCACAACUACCGAAUAAAUUGGGACUAAAGUUUCUUGAAGACAUAAAGGAUUAUUGAAAGAAUCAUGCAAUAUUGAACCCCAUUUACCUUGCUAAUGGGAACAUUAGCGCCAAUGAUAGAGGGGUUCAUCUUGUAAACCGCAAGGAAAUCCCAGAAACUCACGCUGGCGCUAGAGAUGUUCCAAUCUGACGGAGAAAAUAAAAUAAACACGGUAGAGGCAAGUAGAGCCCGAGCCCCUCUUUUUCCUCUCUCGCCGCAGACCACGCCGAUUAGUUCACCGAGCUCCACACCACCACAAAGGGAGGAGGAACUGAGGGGAUGCAGGACGAGAAGUGGCUAGAUCCUUGGUGGCGAUGGACGUUCUAUGGUGGGUGCGGAGGGCCGCGGCAGAUGGGCGAACCGGAUGCCGAUGAUUGGAAGUGACCAGUUGGGCGAAGCUACUGGGGGCCUCGAGGAGAAGCUGCGGCUGUCGGUGACGCAUUGCGGGCGGGCGGCGGUGCCGUCCAGGCGUGGUGCAGUAGUGCGACGAAGGUCAAGCGGGCACCAGGGAGUCACUGCGGCCUGGCGGCGGCGCCAUCCAGGCGAGGUGUGGUGGUCCGGGUGCACAACAUCGAGCUCUCCUGGUGAUUAGUUUGCGCACAUCGGACCUUGAUUUUGGCAGCGACGGCUCUAUUGAGAAUAGGAAGAUGAGAUGUGUAGAUCAAACAACCGUGUUUAGAUGCAUUUGGCCUCUUUGACUACCUCGCCGGUUAUAGAAGUAGGAAGAGCAAACGACCCUGGGAUGGGGUGGCUGCGUACCACCGUCCAUCAAAGCUUAUGUGGCAAACUGCUGACGUGGCAGCAUGCAUGCUGAGAGAAUUGCUUGUAGUGGGGAGCAACUUCUUAAGAAUGUAAGAUUAGAUUCAUCAUAAGAUGUAGUUUUAUAUGAUGUAUCUUUAGAUAUAAAUAAUAUUUUGUGUAAACCUGGUCAAAGUUUUCAAAGUUUGACUUCUAAAAAAUUUAUAUGCAC
rnacentral:rRNA from 1 species